rnacentral:lncRNA from 1 species
GGUAUGUUGGCUAUUUGCAGUGAGGCUAUAUAGUUUGACUGCACGUUCUCUUGAUCUCUAACCAUAUGGGUCAUUACUGUGUAUGUUGGCUAUGUAGGUUUAGAUUCAUUGUUUGGAGUAGGAUACACCUAGAUGGAAUCUAUCGAUCUUAGUAGAAAAUGAGAAGUCCUAUGCGAUUUAUAAGACUAAGUUCAGAAAAAUCUCUGGCUAGAGUAAG